UAAUCGCGGAUCAGCAUGCCGCGGUGAAUACGUUCCCGGGCCUUGUACACACCGCCCGUCACACCAUGAGAGUCGGUAACACCCGAAGCCUGUGAGCUAACCGUAAGGAGGCAGCAGUCGAAGGUGGGAUCGAUGAUUAGGGUGAAGUCGUAACAAGGUAUC
rnacentral:rRNA from 1 species